rnacentral:rRNA from 1 species
GCCGCGAGGUAGAGCAAAUCUCAAAAAAACAAUCUCAGUUCAGACUGCAGGCUGCAACUCGCCUGCACGAAGUCGGAAUUGCUAGUAAUCGUAGGUCAGCAUACUACGGUGAAUACGUUCCCGGGCCUUGUACACACCGCCCGUCACACCAUGGGAGUCGGAAAUGCCCGAAGCCUAUGAGCUAACUUUUAGAGGCAGUAGUCGAAGGUAGAAUCAAUGAUUGGGGUGAAGUCGUAACAAGGUAGC